AAUUGUAAUGUUAAUUUGUAAUGGAAUUCUUUCAUUAACACGCUUGUUUUUUUUUUUUUUUUUUUUUUUAGACCGCUAUUCGGUAUUGCUUACAGAAACUCGUAUUACCCUCUCCCCCUGCGGAGCGCGUUAUCCAAGAUGGCGGCCGGAAUUACUACCAAAGCCUACAAGUAGGCUAAGAAACCUGUAUUACCGUGGACCCUGGGCGAGAGAGAUAUUGAGAGAGGUUUUUUCCCACGCUGGGCAACCGAAUGUUGCGAAUGCGGCGAAUAAAUUCGAGCAAUUUGGGUUUCAAUUUGGGAAUAGGUAUCACGCUUCAAAAAAACAUUUCGCCAGAAUUUGGGUUAGCGGGGUUCCAUCGGUUAUCUUCGAGGCGUAGUCCCUCGACCAGCAAAAAGCGAUUUUUUUUUUCGUAUUAAUGAAGAGUUGCCAAUUCCUACACACGCCUCCAACGUCCUAAGGGAAACCUGUCCAAACGCACACUUUCUAAUUCCAGUAUGUCAUUGCUAGUUUCAUAUGCUUUAGGCGAUAAAGAAAAUACAUUUUACUUCAAUGUCUUGAGAUUCGUCGGCCAUAUGUCUGCGAAGAUUUCAAGAGAGCGUUUGAACAUUUCUUUUACAGAGGUCUCGAAGCUCCUCGACUUCUCCCUAAACGGACAGCGUCAUGAUACUAUGCAUGUCUGGGGUGACUUUUUUUCUUGAUCUGUAUGCUUGAAAGAAUAAAGAUUAUCCGCCACAUUACAACGAACUGCAAAGAAGACGGGGAUUUGAGAACACUUUACCAGAACGCGAAAAAAAAACUUUGAACGGGACUCCAAGCGAUGUCACGACAUCAACGGAUUCCCCUACACAACGAUGGCGAAGGUUGAAAAAGUGCUCGCUCAAGAAGCCAAAGCGAGGAACUGCGUCCUGAACAGUAAGAACAAGCUGAGACGGGCGCGUCAACUAUGUAAUAAUGGGUAUAAGCCGCAGGAAGUUGCUCAGAGGACGGGAAUACGCGUUGCAGACGUUAAGGUUUUUAUUACGAAGUGCCCUGGAGUGCCUAUUUCUCCUGCCGUUGUACGCAAGAUUUGCGUAAUGAGGAAGUCUUGCAUAUCAGAGCGCGAAAUUGCCAGGUUUACAGUAAUAAGCGAGCAGAGGCUUAAAAGCGUUAAUUGUAAGAUAAAAAUAUCGUGUAUAAUGAAGGUUUGUGAUUUGAGGAAAUACAUACUUUGAGUAUACAGCUUCAAAUAAAACAUGAUGAUUAUGA